GAUGGACGCUGGCGGCGUGCCUAAUACAUGCAAGUCGAGCGAACAGACGAGGAGCUUGCUCCUCUGACGUUAGCGGCGGACGGGUGAGUAACACGUGGAUAACCUACCUAUAAGACUGGGAUAACUUCGGGAAACCGGAGCUAAUACCGGAUAAUAUAUUGAACCGCAUGGUUCAAUAGUGAAAGACGGUUUUGCUGUCACUUAUAGAUGGAUCCGCGCCGCAUUAGCUAGUUGGUAAGGUAACGGCUUACCAAGGCAACGAUGCGUAGCCGACCUGAGAGGGUGAUCGGCCACACUGGAACUGAGACACGGUCCAGACUCCUACGGGAGGCAGCAGUAGGGAAUCUUCCGCAAUGGGCGAAAGCCUGACGGAGCAACGCCGCGUGAGUGAUGAAGGUCUUCGGAUCGUAAAACUCUGUUAUUAGGGAAGAACAAAUGUGUAAGUAACUAUGCACGUCUGGACGGUACCUAAUCAGAAAGCCACGGCUAACUACGU
rnacentral:rRNA from 1 species